CCAGAGAACUUAGCAGAGAUGCUUUGGUGCCUUCGGGAACUCUGAGACAGGUGCUGCAUGGCUGUCGUCAGCUCGUGUUGUGAAAUGUUGGGUUAAGUCCCGCAACGAGCGCAACCCUUAUCCUUUGUUGCCAGCGGCUCGGCCGGGAACUCAAAGGAGACUGCCGGUGAUAAACCGGAGGAAGGUGGGGAUGACGUCAAGUCAUCAUGGCCCUUACGGCCAGGGCUACACACGUGCUACAAUGGCGCAUACAAAGAGAAGCGACCUCGCGAGAGCAAGCGGACCUCACAAAGUGCGUCGUAGUCCGGAUUGGAGUCUGCAACUCGACUCCAUGAAGUCGGAAUCGCUAGUAAUCGUAGAUCAGAAUGCUACGGUGAAUACGUUCCCGGGCCUUGUACACACCGCCCGUCACACCAUGGGAGUGGGUUGCAAAAGAAGUAGGUAGCUUAACCUUCGGGAGGGCGCUUACCACUUUGUGAUUCAUGACUGGGGUGAAGUCGUAACAAGGUAAGCGUAGCGAG
rnacentral:rRNA from 1 species